rnacentral:rRNA from 1 species
AACGACAUCGAAAGCUUGCUUUUGAUGGGCGUCGACCGGCGCACGGGUGAGUAACGCGUAUCCAACCUGCCCACCACUUGGGGAUAACCUUGCGAAAGUAAGACUAAUACCCAAUGAUAUCUCUAGAAGACAUCUGAAGGAGAUUAAAGAUUUAUCGGUGAUGGAUGGGGAUGCGUCUGAUUAGCUUGUUGGCGGGGUAACGGCCCACCAAGGCUACGAUCAGUAGGGGUUCUGAGAGGAAGGUCCCCCACAUUGGAACUGAGACACGGUCCAAACUCCUACGGGAGGCAGCAGUGAGGAAUAUUGGUCAAUGGACGAGAGUCUGAACCAGCCAAGUAGCGUGCAGGAUGACGGCCCUAUGGGUUGUAAACUGCUUUUAUAAGGGAAUAAAGUGAGUCUCGUGAGACUUUUUGCAUGUACCUUAUGAAUAAGGACCGGCUAAUUCCGUGCCAGCAGCCGCGGUAAUACGGAAGGUCCGGGCGUUAUCCGGAUUUAUUGGGUUUAAAGGGAGCGUAGGCCGGAGAUUAAGCGUGUUGUGAAAUGUAGAUGCUCAACAUCUGCACUGCAGCGCGAACUGGUUUCCUUGAGUACGCACAAAG